rnacentral:rRNA from 1 species
AUUGAACGCUGGCGGCAUGCCUUACACAUGCAAGUCGAACGGCAGCACGGGAGCAAUCCUGGUGGCGAGUGGCGAACGGGUGAGUAAUAUAUCGGAACGUGCCCAGUCGUGGGGGAUAACGCAGCGAAAGCUGUGCUAAUACCGCAUACGAUCUAUGGAUGAAAGCGGGGGAUCGCAAGACCUCGCGCGAUUGGAGCGGCCGAUAUCAGAUUAGCUAGUUGGUGGGGUAAAGGCCCACCAAGGCGACGAUCUGUAGCUGGUCUGAGAGGACGACCAGCCACACUGGAACUGAGAAACGGUCCAGACUCCUACGGGAGGCAGCAGUGGGGAAUUUUGGCCAAUGGGCGCAAGCCUGAUCCAGCAAUGCCGCGUGCAGGAUGAAGGCCUUCGGGUUGUAAACUGCUUUUGUACGGAGCGAAACGGUCUGCCCUAAUACGGUGGGCUAAUGACGGUACCGUAAGAAUAAGCACCGGCUAUCUACGUGCCAGCAGCCGCCGUAA